rnacentral:snRNA from 1 species
AUCUUUGCACUUGGGGCAAUGACGUAGCUACUGAGGUAAAACUGAGGCACGUCCAUAGUUGGUUGAAACUAUUUCCAACCCCGCUCGUUGGCCUGGGCUAUGCUUUGGCCUUCGAGAAUUUUUGGAGGGUUCACCUAGUUGAAA